rnacentral:lncRNA from 1 species
UGAUCACAAAUAUUAUUAUUUAUUAACUCAACAAAUUUAUCAAAUAAGAAAACUGUUAUAUUUGGAAAAUUUUACAUUAAUAUUAUAUGCUUUAAAAAAUGUAUCUUAUUUGAACGUGUAUAAUUUAUAUGUUUUUAAUUUAAUAGCAUAUAUUCUUGAACAGAUAAAAAAAAAAUACAAACUGUUAUCCGGGGAAGAUUGUAUAAAUAUAAUGCUUAUAGUUAAUGACUUGAGUAAGUAUGCUCAAAAUGGGUACUUGAAUUUUACAUAUUUGGCAAGUAGUAGCAGUAAUGACGGUGCCACCAGCUGCAGUACUAUUAAUAACUCUAUUGACGAUUUAAGAACCACCCAACGCGAUACUACAUUACAAAUAAAUCCAACAACAACUACUACUGCUACUACUACUGCUACUACUGCUACUACUGCUACUACUGCUACAAAAAAACAAAAGGAAAAAAACAAUGUAAUAAAAAAGUACAUUAACAUAUUCGACGAUAACGUUGAAUUGAAUACGUUAAAUGUGAGUAGUAGUAGUAGUAGUAAUAUUGUUGAACGUAAAAAUGUAUUAUCAAGCAAUGGAGUGGUAAAUCAAGGCGUAAAAGAUGUAACAGAUCACUCACUAUAUGGCGCAACAUAUGGUGCAACAAAUGGUGCAACACAUGGCGCAACAAAUGGCGCAACAUAUGGCGCAACAUAUGGCGCAACAUAUGGCGCAACAUAUGGCGCAACAUAUGACUUACCUGAUGAAGAGGACGAAAUUUAUUUACCCCAUAUACAUGACUUACUAUACGAACAAAUAAAAAUACGCUUAAACAAUUAUUGGCAUUUGAAUAUUAAAGACGUGAAUAACUUAAUAAUAAUUAUGAAAAACUGUAACAUGUAUGAUGAUGUAGUAAUAAAUAUGAUACUUCGACAAAUUAUACCUAUCUUAUUAAAAUGCUCAAGUAUCGAAUUUUUAAUUUUUUUAAGUAACGUAUCAUUAAAUAACAAAUUAAAAUUUUUAACAUUAACACAUAUGGCUCGAAGACCAAAAUUGAUAAGCGUUUUUAAAAGUAAAAUUAAUUCUAUUACAAGUAGUAUAUUAAAUAACUUUGAAGAGAUUGUAGAUUAUGAAGAAAAUAUACAGUCCCAUACUACUGCUACUGUUGCUACUGCUGCUACUGCUGCUAUUACUGCUACUACUGCUACUACUGCUACUACUGCUACUACUGCUACUANNNNNNNNNNCUACUGCUACUACUGCUACUACUGCUACUACUGCUACUACUGCUACUGCUACUACUGCUACUGCUACCACCACUGCUACUACUGCUACCACCACUGCUACUACUGCUACUACUACCACCACUCAGGAGGAAAGCACAAAAGAUACACCAGUUAGUCACAUACAACACAAACAUAAAGAUAUAACUUACAAACAAAGUGAAAAUGAUGAAAUAAUAAAUGUGGCUAACAAUUCGGUAGGUUAUAACA